ensembl:lncRNA
CCAGUAGAUCACAGUACUCCAUGCUGACAGUACGUGCAAGCGUAAUAACCUAUAGACUGAGGAGUUGUGAAGCUGCUCACUCGUAUGUGCCAAAAGCAGUCACUCUUUAGAGAGAGGUGGGCCUGUUGCUGUGGUGUGGCUUUUCCUGGUACCUGCUGCCACCCGGGACCUCAAAAAAAAAUUAAAAAGUAUUUUAUAUUACUAUAUUGACAUUGUUGAAUAGUCUGUAAUAGACUGGAAUGUAACAACUUGGGAAGUGAAUCACUUAAUUUACAGCGGUACGCUGUGGAAUCUCUUGGUGAUGGAUUAUCAUAAUCCUGAAACUGAGUACUCUGAUCAGUGAGAGAGAAACAGUUUGAAACCUUCCAGAAAUGUCCGCUGUGCUCUGCAGCAGCAAUGUGCAGUAAAGGAUUGGAAAGCUUGAUGUGGAGAAUGGCAACAAAUGCCCUUCACGGCAAGUUUUUGGGUCAGGUUCCUGCAAGGUGGGAGAACUGUAGGACAAAGACUUGUUGAAGUCAACACAGAGGAGCACAGUGACAGAGUUGCUCUGCAAGAGGAGCUCUGAUUUUAACCAGGGAGGUGGGUGCACCACAAUUACACAUUUCCUAGAAGCGUAGAAAACCAAGAGUAUAUUGACAGCUAUUUGAAAACAAAAGGCUGGCUGUAUCUCACUCAUCAUUCUUAACAUGGCCACUGAGCUGUAGGGAAGAAAUAUUUUAUUGUUUCAAAGAUAUUGUCCUAAUUAUAGCUUGGGUUUCAACUGAGCUUUCCUUUUGGUGUUUCCUUACCAACAGAUAUUGGCAUUCAGUAAAAGGAAAUUCUUUCCUAACCGUCAGUCCUGCUGGAAAGUGGGAGUUAUUUCACUUUAAGAUAAAAACCAGAAGCAAUAUUGAUAGAUUUGGAAAUAUUUGUCCUGGAUGCUUUACAAACAGAAAGCUUACUGUUAUUUUCAGAGGAGAAUAACCCCAAUGCUUCAAACUACUAAACCACAGUGUGUUACAGAAGCAUCUACUACUGUGCUCUAGCGGGGUCCUCAGUAAACAUCCAGUAUAUGACUACCUUUGUACUUUUUGUUCUUUGUCCUUUCCAUUUGUCAAUAGAGAGUCCCUUCAGACCCAACCAGCCUGGUAAUAUCAGCUGAGCACCACAACCUUACAUCAUAUAACAGAUUUUACUGAAUAUUCCUUCAAAUACUCAUUAUGUUCAUUAAUUCACUUUUCAUUUUCUUCCUCUGGAACAGGCAAGAUAAGGACACACAGCUGGCUUGCUUCAAAAAAAGGUGCUUUAUUAUCCAAGUUUGGCUGUUGUUUUGCCUGUAAAACCAAUUAAAAGCUUUUUUAAGUUUCUGAUUUGUGAAGACGUAACCCAUAAAUAAAGACUAAUUAUUAAU